UGAAGAGAAUAGCGUCCUUAGAGGUCACAAG
rnacentral:piRNA from 1 species